UAUUUGGUCGGUGAUAUAUCUUUUUGUCCACAUGCGGAUAUGACUUUCCUUGGUACUUGAUUUAAUUUAACGAGAGUACUCUUAAAUUGGUUACUUUGAAGGUGAACGUGUACCAACUUUGACAUAUAUUAUUAUCAAUAUAAAUAGACACACCAUGUCUAUUGUAUACUAUGUCAAAAAGAAAUCAAACUACCAAGGAAAUAAAUGAAGUUCAAUAUUGUUGCCUUGUUUCUUGUCUUCUCUCUUCUCAUGGUUGGUAACUUGAGCUAUGGAAGAAAAGAUGUGGGAGACUAUUGGAUGAAUAUGAUGAAUGAGCAAGCUAUGCCAGAAGCAAUUAAAAACCUUGUUCAAGUUCCAAUUGUAUCAAAUAAAAGAAAAGAAGAUCGUUUUAUUACGGACUUUGAUGUACAUCCUAAUAUCAUAUUAUAUCAUACACAUGUACAUCAGAAGCAGCCUUAAGGAAAAUUACCAGAAAGUGGUUUAAAGAUUAACCUGCUAGAAAUAAUUAAAAAAAUAGUAGUUAACUUGGAAGCAGAUUUGUUAUGACCGUAUGAACUACGUCAUGAUUUGAUAUAUAAAAACUCAUUUAUGUAUUAGUAUUUAGUUUUGUACUA